AGUGGGGAAUAUUGGACAAUGGGCGCAAGCCUGAUCCAGCCAUGCCGCGUGAGUGAUGAAGGUCUUAGGAUUGUAAAGCUCUUUCACCGGUGAAGAUAAUGACGGUAACCGGAGAAGAAGCCCCGGCUAACUUCGUGCCAGCAGCCGCGGUAAUACGAAGGGGGCUAGCGUUGUUCGGAAUUACUGGGCGUAAAGCGCAUGUAGGCGGAUAUUUAAGUCAGGGGUGAAAUCCCGCAGCUCAACUGCGGAACUGCCUUUGAUACUGGGUAUCUUGAGUAUGGAAGAGGUGAGUGGAAUUCCGAGUGUAGAGGUGAAAUUCGUAGAUAUUCGGAGGAACACCAGUGGCGAAGGCGGCUCACUGGUCCAUUACUGACGCUGAGGUGCGAAAGCGUGGGGAGCAAA
rnacentral:rRNA from 1 species